rnacentral:rRNA from 1 species
CGGGGUGAGUAACGCGUGGAUAACCUGCCUCACACAGGGGGAUAACAGUUAGAAAUGACUGCUAAUACCGCAUAAGCGCACGGUGCCGCAUGGUACAGUGUGAAAAACUCCGGUGGUGUGAGAUGGAUCCGCGUCUGAUUAGGUAGUUGGUGAGGUAACGGCCCACCAAGCCGACGAUCAGUAGCCGACCUGAGAGGGUGACCGGCCACAUUGGGACUGAGACACGGCCCAA